GGCCGGGUCGCCAAGUGGUUAAGGCGCGUGACUGUCUAUCACGCAUCGUGGGUUCGAUUCCCAUUCUGGUCGCCA
rnacentral:tRNA from 1 species